rnacentral:rRNA from 1 species
UACAGAGGUCUCAAGCGUUUGUUCGGAUUCAUUGGGCGUAAAGGGUGCGUAGGUGGCGCCGUAAGUCAGGUGUGAAAUUUCGGAGCUUAACUCCGAAACUGCAUUUGAUACUGCGGUGCUUGAGGACUGGAGAGGAGACUGGAAUUCACGGUGUAGCAGUGAAAUGCGUAGAUAUCGUGAGGAAGACCAGUGGCGAAGGCGGGUCUCUGGACAGUUCCUGACACUGAGGCACGAAGGCCAGGGGGAGCAAACGGG